GCAGCCGCGGUAAUACGUAGGUGGCAAGCGUUAUCCGGAUUUACUGGGUGUAAAGGGUGUGUAGGCGGGAAUGCAAGUCAGAUGUGAAAAUUAUGGGCUCAACCCAUAACCUGCAUUUGAAACUGCAUUUCUUGAGUGUCGGAGAGGUAAAUGGAAUUCCCAGUGUAGCGGUGAAAUGCGCAGAGAUUGGGAGGAACAUCGGUGGCGAAGGCGAUUUACUGGACGACAACUGACGCUGAAACACGAAAGCGUGGGGAGCAAACAGGAUUAGAUACCCC
rnacentral:rRNA from 1 species